rnacentral:rRNA from 1 species
UACGUAGGCAGCAAGCGUUGUUCGGAGUUACUGGGCGUAAAGAGUGCGUAGGCGGUCCUGUAAGUUUGGUGUGAAAUCUCCCGGCUCAACUGGGAGGGUGCGCCGAAGACUGCAGGGCUUGAGUAUGGGAGAGGUAAGCGGAAUUCCUGGUGUAGCGGUGAAAUGCGUAGAUAUCGUAAGGAAGACCAGUGGCGAAGGCGGGUCUCUGGACAGUUCCUGACGCUGAGGCACGAAGGUCAGGGGAGCAAACGGG